UUCAGCGUUAUAUUCAGCAGAGUCAACCUGCAUUGUGUAUUACUUGUGGCAACUUAAGAAAACAUCUUCUGAAACGAACAAGAAAUAUCGAAACAACUUAAGAUUUUUUCUUUUUCUUUUCAACAUUGCUCAGUGCCUUUUUAAUAUAUCUGUUUAUCUUCUUCUUAGGGGAGAUUCUCUGGGAGGUACACAAAUGGUAGUAUUGACAACCUGAGUCAUUCACUUAACGCAAGUCAAGCAUCCCAAGUUGGGGCAUCUGGAAAGCAGAGUCUCAGGUUUUUGUUUGCUCCUGGGGAUGGACGUAUGCAGACAGGGUGCCUUCUUCAGGUUCUCAGACAAAACCAAGGGUUUCAAGGUAAAAGGGGAUGGGGGGCAGGUUUUUUUUUCAUUUGUUACUAAUGACCCAUUUCCAGUAGCUCAGGCUGUAAGAUAGUUACCAAACAUAGUGACACUUGCAGUAAAAUUCACUCGAGCUGGCAACCCAGCAGCUGGAGAAAUGCUCAGUGGGGUUUCUGCCAAGGAACGUGUCCCAGAUUAUUCUGUAGGAGCACGGGGGCUUAGAAGUGUAAAUCUCCAGGUUUUAGUGGGAGGUCAAAGCUAUCUUCUGUGCCCCUGAUACCCUCCCUCCAUGCUCCAUCAUCAAGUUCAAACUGCCUGGCACUGGGGCCAGCUAUCACUUUCCUACUGGCCACAGCACCGUCAGCACAGCCCAAAGACCACAUACAUGUACGCGACUGUGGUUUGACAAGAGGGAAGUAGAAAUACCUGCGCUCAAUCUUAGCCUCACUUGCAGGCUUUGCCACUGCCAAUGUCAAUUAACAUCACAUCAUCAAAAGCCAUAGAAGACCUGGCACUGCAGGGACUGACUGCACCGCACAGGUCAACCUCCAUCCACCCAACCUCUCACACCUUUUCUCAUUCUCCAAUACACACUGAGAUUCAACACUGCUGAAGGAGCGAAAACACCAUAUCUUUGUCUUUUAUGGACUGCUUAUGAGCUGACCACAGUCUUGGUAUCAUAACUAAAGGUUUAUAUAGAAAUGAACUACAUGUCCCCGCAUGUAACACUCAGAACAACUUUGCAGUGAAUCACUUCUGGGCUCCUCAAAAACUAAAAAGUGGUAGAAGUAUCAUACAAAGCAAUGAAUCAUACAAAGAAAAGAAGCAAUUCUCAUACCUUGCACCUACUCCAUCUGCCUUUCCAGGAGCCCCUCAUGUAUCCAUGUACUACAUAUACUCAGUCUUACCUACUUCUGAGCUCUAUUUUUGCCGUUUGCUCUUACGAGACCUUUGCAGUGCCCUGGCUUUGUUCACAGCAAGAUGCAAAGGCUCAAGGCUGCUUUACACUGCACCACAUGUCAUCAGUGCCUGCUUCCAUGACAGGACCAGGCCAUAAAGCAGCCCAUGUUUAUCCCUGCACUACACCUGUGCAUCUCUGCCCACCUCUCUUCCCCAACAAACUGCAAGUAGUACUGGAACUACACUCAUUCCCAGAGGAUCUGAUUAGCAUCAGGCUCUUGAGAAGCUUAAUGCUGUGUAUUUGCAGGAAAGAGCAAGCUGGCUGGAGAUAGAAGAGCGGUGUAGAAACAGAGCCAUCAGAUUGAUGGCCACCACUUCGUUUCUCAUCUUCCAUUCACUCCCAUGCACCUUGUUAAGGUAUUUACUUUUAUUGUCAAGGAAUGGUGCAUGAGAAAGUGAGCACACAGAAGAAAGGAAGGAAGAAGAAGGGAGAGAGAGAAGUCAGGGUGGGCAGGAAGGAAGUCCAGUUGUGCAGAGGGCAGGAAAGCUGGGGUACCUCAGCACCAAGGAGUGAGAACUGGAAGGAAAAAUUUCCUCCUGUCAGAAUCCAUAAAUCCCACCAGGUGAGUCCCCCUCCUGUGGGAGAGGCUCUGUCCCAGGAUACCCUGCCCUAUGUCUCCCAACAAUAGAUGGCCAGCAUGCUCCUGUAAGAACUGUGAGAUCUGGGUGAGCAGCAGGACCCUUGCUCCCUCCCAGCCCAUGGGACUGAGCUUCACAAUGGAUUAGAAUCUAGAACAGAUGCACAUAUUUUCCCCUCUUCCACUCUGUGAAGGUUGCUUCCCAGACCAUGCAGGGAUGCUCCAAACUACAAGCAGGGUUGGUGCCCAAAGACUGCAAGCAGAACCAGGAGUUGCCGCCUGUCUUCAGCACAGCCUGGUUUCUGUGGGACUGAUUCUUCCCUGCCCACAGGAGGACUAAACCACAAGAAAUAGGAUGUUACAAAUCCUCACGCAGUUCUACACCGCGAGCACAACAGCUCAUUUUAUUUCUGCUCUUGGCAAGACUUCUUUGCUCAAGGCUAAAAGCUUGAAUGAGAAGUUUCACCCUGGAAGAAGGUCUGCCAAACUGGAGCAUGAAGUCAGUUGAGCCCUUUUUACAUUACAAAUACAAUCCCAAAACCAAAGUUUCCUGGACUGGAAUGCUUUUUCUCCCUUUUUUAAUGUGUGUAUAUUUUAAUACUUAACAUGA